rnacentral:rRNA from 1 species
UACGUAGGGGGCGAGCGUUGUCCGGAUUUAUUGGGCGUAAAGAGCUCGUAGGCGGUUCGAUAAGUCAGGUGUAAAAACUCCAGGCUCAACUUGGAGAGGUCACCUGAUACUGUCGUGACUAGAGUCCGGUAGAGGAGCACGGAAUUCCUGGUGUAGCGGUGAAAUGCGCAGAUAUCAGGAGGAACACCAGCGGCGAAGGCGGUGCUCUGGGCCGGAACUGACGCUGAGGAGCGAAAGCGUGGGGAGCGAACAGG